rnacentral:lncRNA from 1 species
ACCUUAUCAUGGACUCUUGGUAUUUCCACGUUCUCCCUUUCCACAUGCCAUAUUUUGGUGUCCAGAUUUUUCUACAUAGAGGAGGAGUCCUUCUACUUUUUAAACUCUUCCUAUUCCAUGCCUUAACCCAUGGGAUUACAUGCAAAAAUUAAUAUGGAGCAUGUAAGGGAUUUGGGACACCAAGAGUUGGCGCCCCUUGAUGUCUUGGGUGGCGCCCCUUCAUCCUUUAUUUAUGGGGCAGCCCAUAUGGCAUAAAAUUCAUUCAAAAUUUAUUUUGGAUCUGGGAUUAG